UACGGGGGGAGCAAGCGUUGUUCGGAUUUACUGGGCGUAAAGGGCGCGUAGGCGGUCAGCACAAGUCAGUUGUGAAAUCUCCGGGCUUAACUCGGAAAGGUCAACUGAUACUGUGCGACUAGAGUGCAGAAGGGGCAACUGGAAUUCUCGGUGUAGCGGUGAAAUGCGUAGAUAUCGUAAGGAAGACCAGUGGCGAAGGCGGGUCUCUGGACAGUUCCCUGACGCUGAGGCACGAAGGUCAGGGGAGCAAACGGGG
rnacentral:rRNA from 1 species